rnacentral:rRNA from 1 species
UGCUCAGGCGGACUUGUAAGUCAGAGGUGAAAUACCGAAGCUUAACUUCGGCACUGCCUUUGAUACUGCAAGCCUUGAGUUUGAGAGAGGGUAAUGGAAUAUCUGGUGUAGCAGUGAAAUGCGUAGAUAUCAGAUAGAACACCAAUGGCGAAGGCAGUUACCUGGCUCAAAACUGAAGCUAAGCACGAAGUGGUGGGGAGACAAACA